UUGUAACUUUGUAUGGAACUUUGGUACUUGGGCUCCAUACUCCUGCUGCAUGACAACAACUGAGCAAACUCCAUCUGCUGAUGAAGACCACGGCUGGGUCCGAAAUCCCUCUCUGUUCACUUGAUUUACUGUCUGCUGUUUUAUUUCCAAAUUCUGAUUUACCACCAUAUAGUGCCCUCCAAAAAUUCCACAAUCAGGUAGCUGAGAUGGUCGAACAUGGCUUUCUGGUUCUGACGGCUGAUUCGACAGAAGUAGCAGAGGAAACGACAACAGUUGGCCACCAUCUUAGGAAAGGUUUCCCAUCUUGUUCUUCAGGUGAAGCUGACCACAGUGCCUCAUCAGAUCCUCGUGGAAGUCGAGCAGCUGUUCUCGGAUGUAUUCGGGACACGGACACUCCUGCUUCUCAUCCUUAAAGUUCAGCAGCGUGUUGAUCUGAGCAGAGACACAUUCAUUAAAUACUUCCACAACAAUCACUGGGAUGACAUCACCGAAAUCCGACAUACAUUUGUUCAUAGGUUUGGAUGUUGGGAGCGUGUUCCCACAAGUGUAUUGGAAAGAUGCUAUGUGACUCCGGGGUCUGCAAUGCAUUCAAGUAAUCAGGGUUUCCAGCAACGGUAACGGUGUGCAGCAUUGAGAGGCUUCAGCUGACUAGGAGUAUUUAGGUGAUACACAAUAUGUUCCUGAUCUCAAUUCCUUUAUUCAAAGUGACUCAGCUCUCAUUUUGCUCCUGAUAUUGAUGAUGUAUUUGUGACUUUGCCCUGACUGCGAUAACGCUGCUACCCUCAACUCGGACUGAAACCAAAAUGAAAAAUGUUAUACAGU